rnacentral:misc_RNA from 1 species
GAUGAAGAACGCAGCAAAAUGCGAUAAGUAAUGUGAAUUGCAGAAUUCAGUGAAUCAUCGAAUCUUUGAACGCACAUUGCGCCCGCCAGUAUUCUGGCGGGCAUGCCUGUUCGAGCGUCAUUUCAACCCUCAAGCCCUCGGGUUUGGUGUUGGGGAUCGGCGAGCCUUUCUGGCAAGCCGGCCCCGAAAUCUAGUGGCGGUCUCGCUGCAGCCUCCAUUGCGUAGUAGUAAAACCCUCGCAACUGGAACGCGGCGCGGCCAAGCCGUUAAACCCCCAACGUCUGAAUGUUGACCUCGGAUCAGGUAGGAAUACCCGCUGAACUUAAGCAUAUCAAUAAGCGGAGGA